rnacentral:rRNA from 1 species
UACAGAGGGUGCAAGCGUUGUCCGGAAUUAUUGGGCGUAAAGAGCUCGUAGGCGGUCUGUCGCGUCUGCUGUGAAAAUCCGAGGCUCAACCCUGGACUGCAGUGGGUACGGGCAGACUAGAGUGCGGUAGGGGAGACUGGAAUUCCUGGUGUAGCGGUGGAAUGCGCAGAUAUCAGGAGGAACACCGAUGGCGAAGGCAGGUCUCUGGGCCAUUACUGACACUGGAGAAGCGAAAGCAUGGGGAGCGAACAGG